rnacentral:rRNA from 1 species
GACGAACCGUGCGAACGUUAUUCGGAAUCACUGGGCUUAAAGGGCGCGUAGGCGGGCCGCAUAGUCAGGGGUGAAAUCCUCCAGCUUAACUGGAGAAGUGCCUCUGAUACUGGCGGCCUCGAGGGGUGCAGGGGCGUGCGGAACUUAGGGUGGAGCGGUGAAAUGCGUAGAUAUCUGGAGGAACACCGGUGGCGAAGGCGGCAUCCUGGACCGACACUGACACUGAGGAGCGAAAGCCAGGGGAGCAAAGCGGGG